AUGUUACGAGGAAAAUUUGGCCCAACUGUCACUAGCCAAGGCAAGAGGCGCACCUGGGACACAAUAUCCCAAACAAUCAAUGCCUCUUUUCCACUGGUGGUGCGGACAGGCGACGAUUGUGAGAAAAGGUGGUAUGUGCUGCAGUCCAAGGCAAAAGAUGAGAUUGCAGCACAUAAGCGGGAAUCCUCACUCACAGGGGGUGGACCACCCGCAAAGCGGCUGUCCCAGGUGGCCGACACUGUCUUUCAAGUCCUGGGACACUCUGAGGUCAGUGUCACCGGGCUGCCAACAGGCAUUGACACAUCAAUGAUGCAGGCCCUUGAAGUGCAGCAAAGCAUGGAGCCAUCACAAGAACCGGGCCCAUCAAGUUUGCCGAUGAGAUUGCCGCCUGAACCAUCUGCAGCUGCUACUCAGGAUAGCCCGGCGGAUCAAACACCAUUCCCAUCCGCAGCACCUGCUCCGUCAACAUCCCUGCAGGAGAGCAGAUUGCAACUCACAAUUGAUGUGUUUGAACAACAAAAAAAAGUCCUUUCCCUUCAGGAGGAGUACUACCGCCUUAAAAUUGAACACCUAAAAAAUAAACCAUUUACAUAUUGUGUUCUGUGUCUUGCAUUUAACAAUUGCAGGUGA
rnacentral:lncRNA from 1 species